ACUGGGUGUCUGGACCUAUAGAGUGUUGUUCCUUCUGCUGAGUUUCUAUCAUGAUCAGAAUGAGAGCACACAGGAGUCCAUGCAUGAUCUUAACAACUAGGCGGAGGCCCUGGGAGGGGAGCGGCGGGCGUCCAUCUUGUUCCUAUGUUUCACACUGGAGCACCUGCGCCAUCGCUGUCUGUCCUGACUGGACCAACCAAUUAUAGUGGAGCUCCUUAGCUCCCAGGAUACACCUCACCACCUCCCUGUCAGUCAAGGGCCAUGCCUCAGGACUACCUGGCAUGAUGACUCCUUGCUGUCCCCAGUCCACCUGGCCGUGCUGCUGCUCCAGUUUCAACUUUUCCGCCUGCGGCUAUAGAACCCUGACCUGUUCACCAGACAUGCUACCUGUCCCAGACCUGCUGUUUUCAACUCUCUAGAGAGUGGUAGAGAUACUCUCAAUGAUCGGCUAUGAAAAGCCAACUGACAUUUACUCUUGAGGUGCUGACUUGUUGCACCCUCGACAACUACUGUGAAUAUUAUUAUUUGACCAUGCUAGUCAUUUAUGAACAUUUGAACAUCUUAGCCAUGUUCUGUUAUAAUCUCCACUCGGCACAGCCAGAAGAGAACUGGCCACCCCUCAUAGCCUGGUUCCUCUCUAGGUUUCUUCCUCGGUUUUGGCCUUUCUAGGGAGUUUUUCCUAGCCACUGUGCUUCUACACCUGCAUUACUUGCUGUUUGGGGUUUUAGGCAGGGUUUCUGUACAGCACUUUGAGAUAUCAGCUGAUGUAAGAAGGGCUAUAUAAAUUGAUUUGAUUUGAUUUGAUGUUUGAAUCCCCGAGCUGACUAGGUGUAAAAUCUGUUCAUGUGCCCUUGAGCAAGGCACUUAACCAUAAUUGCUCCUUUAAGUCGCUCUGGAUAAGAGCAUCUGCUAAAUGACUCAAAUGUAAAUGUACUCAAUGGAGAGCAGUUUAAUGGAGUAAUACAUCUAAUCAAUUAUCAUUUUAGCUGCAGCGUAGGUUGUGUCUGAGUGGGUGGAGACCUGUGGAUGGGCAUAGAGUCAGUGUGGAUAGUCUGUGGGAGAGGAGCAGUAGUUGGCCAUUUAACAGUCUUAUGGCCAGGGGAUAGAAGCUGUUUAGGAGUCUGUUUGUCUGAGCCUUGAUGCACCAUUACCGCCUCCCGGACGGGAGCACGGAGAACAGUCCAUGUCCUAGGUGGCCUUUCUCAGACACUGCCUGGCAUGUACAUCCUGGAUGGCUGGGAGCUCGCCUCGGUGAUGUGCUGGGCCAUCUGCAACACGCUCUGUAGGGCCUUCCAGUUGCGGGCGGUGCAGUUGUCAUACCAGAUGGGGUGAUUACAACCAGUCAGGAUGCUCUCAAUGGUGCACCUGUAAAAUUUCCUGAGGAUCUGAGAGGCCAUGCCAAAUAGUUUCAGCCUCCUGAGGGAGAAGAGGCGUUGCCAUGCCUUCAUGAUUGUUCUGGUGGCACUAAAGAGAAUGACCAUGCUAGUAAGGGUAAAAAAGCCUAUAGCAUUCUCAACAUAUACUGUACAUGUAGAUGAUCAACUUACUCUAUCCCUCUCUCUUCCUUUCUUUGCCUGAGAAACUUAAGAGCUGAGACCUCCGGCAAACAAGCAGCAUUGUAUUGGCACAGUUACUUUGCUACAGUGCCAGUAUUUGAACAAGCUCCCUUGUGAUGUUCUCCCA
rnacentral:lncRNA from 1 species